rnacentral:rRNA from 1 species
GACGAACGCUGGCGGCGUGCCUAAUACAUGCAAGUCGAACGCAGUGGGGACGGGUGAGUAACACGUGGGUAACCUCCCAUCAGAGGGGAUAACACUUGGAAACAGGUGCUAAACCGAUACUGAUGGAUGGACCCGGGGUGCAUUGGCUAGUUGGUGAGGUAACGGCUCACCAAGGCCACGAUGCAUAACCGACCUGGGGGGUGGACCGGCCACAUGGGAACUGAGACACGGCCCAGACUCCACCGGAAGGCAGCGGUAGGGAAUCUUCGGAAAUGGACGAAAGUCUGACCGAGAAACGCCGGUUGAGUGAAGAAGGUUUUCGGAUCGUAAACCUCUGUUGUUAGAGAAGCGGUAUCUAACCAGAAAGCCACGGCUAACUACGUGCCAGCAGCCGCGGUAAUAC